GGGCCGGCGGUGGGCGUGGGCCGCGCUGCUGCUGGCUGUCGCAGCGGUGCUGACCCAGGUCGUCUGGCUCUGGCUGGGUACGCAGAGCUUCGUCUUCCAGCGCGAAGAGAUAGCGCAGUUGGCGCGGCAGUACGCUGGGCUGGACCACGAGCUGGCCUUCUCUCGGCUGAUCGUGGAGCUGCGGCGGCUGCACCCAGGCCACGUGCUGCCCGACGAGGAGCUGCAGUGGGUGUUCGUGAAUGCGGGUGGCUGGAUGGGCGCCAUGUGCCUUCUGCACGCCUCGCUGUCCGAGUAUGUGCUGCUCUUCGGCACCGCCUUGGGCUCCCGCGGCCACUCGGGUCAGUGCUAGCGGCGGGCCGGACUGGGAGGCUGGGGUUGUAAAGGGGCCCAUGCCCUCCUUUCUGAUGUUUGGCUGGGCCAUGCAAUGGCGCGAAUACCCUGAUAGUGUCAUGUGCGAUUGUCACUCAGGGCGCUACUGGGCUGAGAUCUCGGAUACCAUCAUCUCUGGCACCUUCCACCAGUGGAGAGAGGGCACCACCAAAAGUGAGGUCUUCUACCCAGGGGAGACGGUAGUACACGGGCCUGGUGAGGCAACAGCUGUGGAGUGGGG
rnacentral:sRNA from 1 species